GUGGGGAAUAUUGGACAAUGGGCGCAAGCCUGAUCCAGCCAUGCCGCGUGAGUGAUGAAGGCCCUAGGGUUGUAAAGCUCUUUCAGUGGGGACGAUAAUGACGGUACCCACAGAAGAAGCCCCGGCUAACUUCGUGCCAGCAGCCGCGGUAAUACGAAGGGGGCUCGCGUUGUUCGGAUUUACUGGGCGUAAAGCGCACGUAGGCGGAUCGUUAAGUCGAGGGUGAAAUCCUGGAGCUCAACUCCAGAACUGCCUUCGAUACUGGCGAUCUUGAGUCCGGAAGAGGUGAGUGGAACUCCUAGUGUAGAGGUGGAAUUCGUAGAUAUUAGGAAGAACACCAGUGGCGAAGGCGGCUCACUGGUCCGGUACUGACGCUGAGGUGCGAAAGCGUGGGGAGCAAACAGGAUUAGAAACCCUUGUAGUCC
rnacentral:rRNA from 1 species